rnacentral:rRNA from 1 species
GGUAGUCCAUGCCGUAAACGAUGUCUACCCUCUUGUUGGGGCCUUUGAGGCUUUAGUGGCGCAGCUAACGCGAUAAGUAGACCGCCUGGGGAGUACGGUCGCAAGACUAAAACUCAAAUGAAUUGACGGGGGCCCGCACAAGCGGUGGAGCAUGUGGUUUAAUUCGAUGCAACGCGAAAAACCUUACCUGGUCUUGACAUAUUAAGAACUUUCCAAAGAUGGAUUGGUGCCUUCGGGAACUUACAUACAGGUGCUGCAUGGCUGUCGUCAGCUCGUGUCGUGAGAUGUUGGGUUAAGUCCCGCAACGAGCGCAACCCUUUUCCUUAUUUGCCAGCGGGUUAAGCCGGGAACUUUAAGGAUACUGCCAGUGACAAAGCUGGAGGAAGGCGGGGACGACGUCAAGUCAUCAUGGCCCUUACGACCAGGGCUACAC